AUGCUAGUUGGAGAAUACCUCCUCUAACGGCAUCUAAGCUGGCUUGGAUAGCAGCUUUGGUCUAGAUCAACUAAGUAAGUGAUUCUACUAUCGAUUUGGUUGGAAGAAUUGCUUUACGUAUGAUGACACAUGCUUAGUGGUCCUACACAUGUAUAUGUGUGAUAUGCUUAAUAUGUGAUGUUAUGAUAUGUGUCGCUAUAUGAUUUGUCAAAUAACAUUACAGCCCAAGGGGUAUGCAAGCUGACCUAAUGAGCCCAUGCUCGCACAUAUGGGUCAUGUGCAGAGAAGUACUUCCUAUCCAAUUUGCCCAAAUUGGAAAAGCUACCUAAGAGAAGACAAUUUUAAAUUAUAGAUCUUAUCAUUCUUUAUGUGUUUACAUUUCUUGACUCAUUCUGCAUGUGGUCACAACCUUUGUUAUUAUUCAUGGGAUCACAACCUUUGUUACUAUUCAUGUGGUCACAACCUUUGUUAUUAUUUUAUUUCAGAUAAAGGCAAGACACUUACUUACCGAGCAUUGUUUAGGCUUCCCUCAAGUGCUCGGCGAAUUUCAAACGUACCAGUACUGUCGACAGCCUCCGUCUGCAACGAGAAAGGGGAAAACAGGGUUGAGGUCAAAAUAAUAUGCAGCAAAAGGAUGAGGGUUCAUGUAUUGGUAAUACUGGGCUAUUAGCAGUAGAAAACAUGAAAAACUCCAAAGAAGAAAUGAAUUAUUUUCUGCAGGA